UACGAAGGGGGCUAGCGUUGCUCGGAAUCACUGGGCGUAAAGCGCGCGUAGGCGGCUUUUCAAGUCAGACGUGAAAGCCCCAGCUUAACCUGGGAAUUGCGUUUGAUACUGUUAAGCUAGAGUGUGGAAGGGGCUACUGGAAUUCCGUGUGUAGCGGUGAAAUGCGCAGAUAUCAGGAGGAACACCGGUGGCGAAGGCGGGUCUCUGGGCAGUAACUGACGCUGAGGAGCGAAAGCGUGGGGAGCGAACAGG
rnacentral:rRNA from 1 species